ensembl:lncRNA
CCAGUCUGUUUGUCUAUUGUUCCACUCCUUGUCAUCCCAAACAGAGUGUAUUUCUCCAGGCUGGUCCUAUGGACUGUUCUGCUCCCCAGUUUGUCAAGUUUUAAUGUUGUUGAUGUUGUGUCCACUGUGUGUUUGUCUCUUUUCAUUGUUAAAGUGUAUUGGGAGUGACCCCUGGUAAAAGUGAAUCUGACAUGACCCCAGGCAGGGCUCAGACGCUGUGUUGGAGCAGGACGUCCCCAGGUCCCAGAGAGAGUCCGACAGUCCAAUGGAGGCUUCCCCUGCUGACCUGGUUCCCCCUGUUGACCUGGUUCCCCCUGCUGACCUGGUUCCCCCUGCUGACCUGGCACCAGGCCCCCAGUGGAAGAGCCGAGGCUGGCCUCAUACCAUAGCCAGGCUGGUUAUGGAGCCAGACAGCCAGGAUUCUACGGCCUCUAGAGAAUCAGUAUCCAACGGGGAGGAGUCAGUCAGCCGGGGGCCCACUAAGCUCCACCUCCACCUACAGCCCACCAACACGGAAGUAUCGAAAACGACGAGCCGGCAAGAUAACCGAAGAGACCUCGUCUGACCCUGAGGAGGAUGUGUGUAUUCUGGAAAACACCCCUGAGCAGAGAGGCUCCGCCCCCACCCCCAGAGAGGCUCCGCCC